rnacentral:rRNA from 1 species
AGUGAACGCUGGCGGUAGGCCUAACACAUGCAAGUCGAACGGCAGCACAGUAAGAGCUUGCUCUUACGGGUGGCGAGUGGCGGACGGGUGAGGAAUACAUCGGAAUCUACUUUUUCGUGGGGGAUAACGUAGGGAAACUUACGCUAAUACCGCGUACGACCUACGGGUGAAAGCAGGGGAUCUUCGGACCUUGCGCGAUUGAAUGAGCCGAUGUCGGAUUAGCUAGUUGGCGGGGUAAAGGCCCACCAAGGCGACGAUCCGUAGCUGGUCUGAGAGGAUGAUCAGCCACACUGGAACUGAGACACGGUCCAGACUCCUACGGGAGGCAGCAGUGGGGAAUAUUGGACAAUGGGCGCAAGCCUGAUCCAGCCAUACCGCGUGGGUGAAGAAGGCCUUCGGGUUGUAAAGCCCUUUUGGUGGGAAAGAAAAGCAGCAGGUUAAUACCCCGCUGUUCUGACGGUACCCAAAGAAUAAGCACCGGCUAACUUCGUG